AAUACUUGUGGUUCCCUUUAAUGCUUCUUGUUUUACAUUGUUUAAACUUUCAUUUCCACUGGGCUGGGCAUCUGACUUCAAACUGUUUUUCUCAUCAUUUGUCUGGAAACAGCAGAAAAGCAGCAAAUAGGAGAUAAUUCCAUUUAAACUAAUUCACCACAACAUUGAGAAGAUGAAGCUCUACCUUCUUUUCUGUGUCCACUGCUUGAUGGCUCGUGUAGUCUACAGUCAGCUGGACGGUCUUCCUGGUCCCAAAGGUGACAAAGGAGAUCCAGGAAUGGCAGGACCCAGGGGAGAACCUGGUCGUCCGGGACUAGAAGGACCAUCUGGACCGCCGGGACCACCUGGAUUCCCUGGACCACGUGGACGACCUGGACCAGCUGCUUUCUGUGGACAAGAUGACUUUGCUUCAUUUCAAAUGGAAGUUGAAAAAUUAAAGGAGACCACUGCAAAGUUAGAGCUGGCUAUAAACUUUGACUUUGUGCAGAAGGCUGGUCAGAAAUACUUUGUCUCCAACAAGGAUAAAGGUUCGUUCUUCAAGGCCGUUGAGUUCUGCUCCCAACAAGGCCUCGAGCUGGCUCUGCCCCAGAGUGAGGAGGAGAACAACAAGCUGAAGCAGCUGUUUGAUGAAGCUGAUAAAAGAGCCUGGAUCAAUGUCAAGAAUAAAAAAGCAGAGGGGAAUUUUGAGGCUGACAUGAACAGUCGACCUCUGACUUUUACCAAAUGGGGAGAAUCACAGCCAGAUAAAUCCAUCCAGGACACUGGCUGCUCCAUGUCAGAUAACGGCAUCUGGCGAGUGACACCUGACUGCUCUCUGAAUGCUUACAUCAUCUGUCAGCUGUAGAAAGCUCCCAUCUGCAACGCAGUCACUUUUUAUACCUUUGAUUUACUUUAUAUUAACAACUUCAUUUCAGACUUGUUCAAAGUGAGCAGAAUAAAGAAUAUUUCUUCUUAAAGCAUGCACCAAAAAAAUGCAUAUCCUCAAAGCAGUCUUAAAUCUUCAGUGAUUUAAGAUUGCAUUUUUCAAGGCAAGGCAACCUUAUUUGUUUGGCACAUUUCAUGUAUAAAGCAAUUCAAAGGGCUUUACAUAAAACCUUAAAAGCAUUAAAUGGUAAAUGGUAAACCUCCAGUUUUCUGGGAAUU